GGAAUCACAUCUAUCUAAUAGAUAGCUGGGAGAGGCAAAAGCUAAUGUCUUCAAGCUUGGAGAGUGGUGCUAAAAAUAUCCAGCCAUUGGAGGAUCCGGAAAUUAUGGAAUUGAGAACUUAAAUUCAUUGAUUUACUUAGGAUAAAAAGGAAAGAAUAUCAGUACCAAACAAAACUCCUAAAGUAGAGGAGAUGUGGAAGCUAAAGUUAUCAUCAGAGGGUGAUGAAGAGUUGGUACGAAGUGUGAAUAAGCAUAUUGGAAGACAGUUUUGGGAGUUUGAUCCAAAUCUUGGAACUCAACAAGAGCGUGCUCAAGUAGAACAAGCUCGCAAUGAAUUUCACCAUAAUCGCUUUAUUACUAACACCAUUUCUGAUCUCCUAAUGAGAUUCCAGUUUGAGAGGGAAAAGGGUUUAAAGAUGAAAGAUAGUGAUUAUAAGGUGAAAAUGAAGAAGGAAGAAGAAGUAACAGAGGAAGUUGUGGAAAUGACACUAAAAAGAGCAUUGAGAAAUGUGUCAAUGAUGCAGGCUGAUGAUGGUUUCUGGCCCGGUGACUAUGGCGGACCUCUGUUUCUUAUGCCUUCUUUGGUGAUAGGAUUAUGGGUGACUGGUGCCCUUAAUGCAGUUUUAUCGCCCGACCAUCAAACCGAAAUGCGACGCUAUCUCUUUAAUCACCAAAACAAAGAUGGAGGCUGGGGAUUGCAUAUAGCAGGGCCCAGCACAAUGUUUGGCACAGCUCUGAGUUAUGUGACCUUGAGAUUGCUUGGAGAAGAAAUGGACGGUGGAAAUGGGAGCAUGCAGAAAGCAAGAAGGUGGAUUCUAGAUCGUGGGGGUGCCACUUCUAUUCCUUCAUGGGGAAAACUCUGGCUCUCCGUUCUUGGCGUAUACGAAUGGAGCGGAAUGAAGUCAAUCCCUCCAGAGAUAUGGCUGCUUCCCUACUUUGUUCCUUUUCACCCAGGAAAGAUGUGGUGUCACACUCGACUUGUGUACCUACCAAUGUCAUAUUUAUACGGUACAAGAUUUGUGGGCCCUUUCACUCCCAUUAUUUCAUCCCUUAGAACAGAGCUCUAUACCAUUCCUUAUCAUCUACUCCAAUGGGACCAAGCUAAAUACCUAUGUGCUAAAGAAGAUUUGUAUCAUCCAUGCUCAAUGAUACAUAAUAUUUUAUGGGCUUUUCUUGAUAAUGUUGGCGAACCUCUUCUCAUGCAUUGGCCUUACUCCAAGCUAAGGCAAAAAGCACUCAAUCAUGUUAUGGAGCAUAUACACUACGAGGAUCAAAACACUAAUUACCUUUGCCUUGGUCCUGUUAAUAAAGUACUAAACAUGGUUUGUUGUUGGUUGGAGGAUCCCAAUUCCGAGGCUUUUAAGUAUCACAUUUCAAGAGUCAAAGACUAUCUUUGGGUGGCCGAGGAUGGAAUGAAAAUGCAGGGAUAUAAUGGUUCUCAAAGUUGGGAUGUUGCUUUAUUUGUUCAAGCUAUCUUGUCUACAAAACUUGAUGAUGAAUACGGAUCAAUACUUAAAAAAGCAAAUAGCUUUAUAAAAUACUCACAGGUUAGAACGAACGUGUCUGGUAAUAGUAGUAGUUGGUAUCGUCACAUUUCAAAAGGUGGUUGGACUUUUUCAACUCCGGAGAGUGGUUGGACUGUAUCAGAUUGUACUGCAGAAGCCUUGAAGGCAGCCAUUUUGUUAUCAAACUUGCCAUUUGAGAUUGUUGGGAAAGCAAUGGAAACAGAAGAAUUAUGCAAUGCAGUCAAUUUGCUUUUGUCCAUGCAGAAUAAAAAUGGUGGAUUUGCAUCAUAUGAGCUCACAAGAUCUUAUGCAUGGCUUGAGAAAAUAAAUCCAACAGAAACAUUUGAAGAUAUCAUCAUUGAUUAUCAGUAUGUAGAAUGCACAUCAUCGGCGAUUCAAGGUCUCGCCUUAUUCAUGCAACAAUUUCCGGGGCACCGAAGGAUGGAAAUAGAGACUUGCAUUGCUAAGGCUGCAAACUAUAUUGAAAGCACACAGCUACCUGAUGGAUCAUGGUAUGGGUCAUGGGGAAUCUGCUUUACAUAUGGGACAUGGUUUGGAGUAAAGGGGCUGAUAACUGCUGGUAAGAGCUACCAAAAUAGCCAAAGCAUUAGAAAGGCGUGUCAAUUUUUGCUUUCCAAACAACAAAAGCUUUCUGGUGGGUGGAGUGAGAGUUAUCUUUCAUCCCAAAACAAGGUAUACACAAACCUGGAAGGAAACAAGUCUCAUGUAGUGAACACUGCAUGGGCUAUGAUGGCUCUUAUUGAUGCAGGCCAGGCCGAAAGAGAUCCAGCUCCAUUGCAUCAUGCGGCCAAGGUGUUAAUCAAUUCACAAAUGGAAAAUGGAGAGUUUCCUCAACAGGUGUUUUGUAUAGGAAAUAAUGGGAAUCUUCAACAAGAAUUGUACUAUCAAUUACUCUGCGUACAGAAACAUUUUUCCCAUAUGGGCCCUUGGUGAAUAUCGAAAUCACGUACUGCUUCAUUCCAACAAAGAGUCCAGAGCAAAUGCAUAAUCUGCUACACAACUGCCAGUAAAGGGAGCCAGAGGUACAAAAGUGCAUCAAGAGCUGCAAAAUUUCUAUUGAAUAAAGCACUGGUGUGAAAUGUAAAUUGCUAUUUAACUAACACAGAAUGUGAUACAAAAUUGCCCUCUUAUGAGGAUGAGUAAGCCAGACUAUUUUAUCCCGAUACAAGAAUACAUUGAUAUAAUUCCCCAUAAAAAUUUAAUAAAUGACAAUAAGUAAACCUCAUCCACAAACUUUUUACCAA